rnacentral:lncRNA from 1 species
CAGGAUUUCAGCCCUUGCCCUGGGCUCAUCGCUUUACCAGCAGGGUGCUGGGCUGGAAACAGGCUCAGCUCAGCCAUCUGCAAUGUUUGGAAACCGGCCUGGCCAGGGGCCCCCAGCUCGCAGCGAGCCCGGCAGUCUGCAGGAACCGCCCGGCCCCAAAGCAGCCCCAGCCGGCCUGCGCAGGGAGGAGCCAGCGGGGGAAGCGGAAGCCUGAGCUGAUCCAGCAGCUGGGGCCGAAUCUGCGCGUCCCGGGGAUGCAGCAGCCGCUGGCGCUCGGUGCAUGCAGCGGCCACCGCGGCUGGUCUUAGGCAGCAGAAGCCUAAAGAAAAGCUGACUGUGGAGGUAUAGAGAGUAGUGAUUCAAGACUUCAUUCUGGACAGCCAGCUC